rnacentral:lncRNA from 1 species
CUUGUCAAUCAAACACUAAAGCUAAAUCAACAGGCCUUGCUCUUGAAAUUUGAUCACAAGUGUGUGCAUAUGACACAGGUGUAAACAGUGCAAUCUAUGCAUAUCUUCUCAGUUGUUGCUAAAACUGAAAACACAGAGGCUGACCAAAUCCACGCCAGUAAAUGUCCCGCAAGUAAAUAAUCUUUCUGUGUUUGCAGAUUCAUUCCCAGCUGCACAGCUUCAAGAGCGCUGAUAUUUCCACCGCUCCGUCCACCGGGACCGUUUCUUUACCGGUGUUCUGAAAUAUUCGGUGUCUGAGAUUUUCGGUGACGCUGGGCGGAGCUACAUGAAUAUUCAUGAGUUUCUGUUUCGCGUUAAAGCGACUCUGAUAAUAUUAGUACGUUUUCACCGAGUUUGACCAAAAUAGUAUCAGAGUAACAGAGUGUCUGAAUGUUUCAAUCAAAGCGCGUGUGUUAGUUACUGUGAUACCUUCACGAUACCAUCUAAGCAGACAUCAAACUCAAUAAAUAUCCCAGUCUGCCUUUACCGACGAAAACCAGCAGUCUGCCAGUGCAGGAAGGGAAAAUAAAGCCACCGCGUUCGCAUAUAUGAUGUGCUGAUGUUAAAAUCGUCAUAAACGCCUGCUGCUUAUCAUUUGCGCUGCUUUUCACUUUCUCACCACGGGAGAUAUUCACCAACACAAGCGCCUGUAACUUCCGCCUGUAGUAGAGCUCCGGUGUUCUGAAAUAUUCGGUGUCUGAGAUUUUCGGUGACGCUGGGCGGAGCUACAUGAAUAUUCAUGAGUUUCUGUUUCGCGUUAAAGCGACUCUGAUAAUAUUAGUACGUUUUCACCGGAUCACAAAAACUGUUCAACAAGGUGUCACAUGGAAGUGCAUGACAGCCUACAGUUCAUGUGGAGAAGCUGUUUGUUUGUAAUUAAUAUAUCUGUUACAAAUCAGCAGAGUUUGAUACUUGCACUUCUGCCUGUUAUUUUUUUCCUAUAGCUUACAGAAGCUCUUCUAAUGGGGGAGACUUAUAUUUUUGUCAAGUUAUAUAUGAGGCCACUAUUGCACACAUAGAUGAAGACAUGCGUAAACGUUCUCAGAAUUAACUUUUGCUUUUUUAUCUGAUGCAGGGGAUGGUGGAUGUGUACUUUAUCAGUGUAAUAGUUAAACAAAUCAUAUGCAAAAUAAAAAACUUGUA